UUCCUUGCAGAGAAUUAACAUUCAGAAUUCACUCAGCUAGGCAGCCAGUUCCUUUUGGAUACUUAUCUGAGCUGAUUAACCCUCCUGUGCUGAUGAGUUGAUGGGAAACCUUAGAAGAAUGUAUUUACUUCUGAUACUUUCAGCCCUCAUUAUCAGGAAAAUCAUAGUCCCAUUAGAAUAAGUGAUGCUAGUCUUGAUGUGAUCCUGUCCUGUGGAUAUAGACUUACAAGUCCAUGCCCUGUCAGUGAUAGAGGCAUGUCUGCUAAGUGAGAAAAGCCAGCGACUCUUCCAUGGCAAUACACUGGGCUGACACUAAACUAGCUGCAGGAUCUUUGGACAGAUUGAAUAACAGGGUCUUGUCCCACAUGGCAAGUGGUUAUUUGCACAGGUGGGACAGGACAGCCAUUGCUGGAGAUCCUGCUGGUGGGGGAGUGAGUGAGUGGCUACGUGGUACUUGGUUGCUGGCUGGGGCUAAACACAAGACAUCUUUAAUUAUAUCUUUUUUAGAACAAGAGCUUGCAUUUGCUUAUGAAUGUCACAGGUGAAAAAUCAAGCUUCUGCAGAAAGGUCAUGAAGCUUUCAGAAUUUGUUCAAGUCUCAAAGAAAAGCUUGUAUAAGAGCUAACAUAUAUGUAGGAUUUCUCAUGUGAAAAUAAUAGCUAAAAAGUUGAGACCAGGUCUUUCAUCCUUGAGGAAAAGAAGAUGAAACAUUUUAUUUUAGAAUUGUUUAUAUAUAUAUUUCCUCCAUAGAAUCACAUGUACUUUAAUAGGGUUUUUUCUUUUCCUUUAGUAGAUUCUUUCCCUUUUCAACCAAAUUUAACUGUGGUCAGAAUUUAAAGGAACUUAAAAGAUUGUGAGUUUGUGCUUCAUUCUACUCUACUUCUAUGAAGUGGCCCUAUUUAAAAGCACAAGGUGCUCUAGGAGUGAGUCAUCACAUUACCAACACUACCUCACUGCUUCUGAUGCUGUGGAGGUUGAAGCAGGGGAGCUAACAGAAAACAGAGAGCACGAAAUUGGAAACUGAGGUCCUCUUUGGUUAAGCGCUGACCACAGGUAGAAUAAUUUGCCUUGCAAUUGAUUAUCAGAACUUAUUUUAUAGAUGACUUGUGAGCUAUUCCCACAAAAUGUGUGGUUAUGUGCUAUAUAUUGCCAUGUUAAACACAUUAGGGCCAAUGAUGUAGCUGGCAGCUUCAAAAGGUUAAUUUGAUCCAGAAACCUCAGGUGUUGCUUGACUGAAACAAAUGGUUUUCCUACCAUCACCAGUGAAGGCCAUAGAAGAAAGUGAGCUAAAAUUUGGGUGCAGGGACCCUGGGACACACCCUUUGGGCAGAUGAUAUAAAUAAACUUGGUCUCCUCUUUAUGCAUGCAGGAACUAAGUUCACAGGGCUUCAAAUGACUUGCCACUACUCUAAUACUCUUCCUUAAACUGGCUUGUACAGAUCAUGGUAGCAGAUGAAGGAUUUCAUGGCUUUACCAAGAUGCUCAAACAAUACUUCACUUUUGCUGCAUGAAGGCUAACUCCAUGCUCCCUAGGACAGCAAGGUUUACUAGGUUUCUAAAGGGGUUUGAGAUCUCGGAAAGGAACUUGCAUAUAACUAAAAGGUUGCCCAGGAAAUCAAGUAUGUAUGUAGACUGGGAGAGAGUAAAUAAAUUGGCAUGGGUGGAAGCUGAAAUGGAUCUUUGAAAGAGGCAAUGAGCAUCAUCACCUGAAUUAUUUAACUUGUGAAUUUUUGCUUUUCUGAUCUGCAUUGUUGUAAUUAAUGGACUCCAUCACAGGUUUUUACCAGUUUUCUUAGUGAAACAGUGGCAAAGUCUAAUAGCUGUGCUAAUGUCAAGCUGGACCUUAAUUAGUCAGCUGAAUUCCUGGACAGUACAGUGCCAGAAAGCAAGCUAAGGGUUAAAGUGUGGAUAUUCAAACACUAGGCUACAACGCCUUUCCUGGUCUUGUUUACUUCACAGAUAUGUAUGUAGCUGUCUGCCAAAGCUGUAGCUUUUCCAUAGUCAUAUUUAUCUAUAGGAUAAUGAAUCAGACAGAAAAUCAAUGCAACAUUUCAAAUAUGGCCUCAUUAGUGCCCUUGUUUAGUGUCAAGAAUAAAUAUCCAGCAAAUUGCUCAGCAUUUCUCUUCUCACUUCCUGGAAUUAUAUUUUCCUUGUCUUAUUGCCUUUACACAUUGUGUUGGAUUUGAUUCUAGCCACUAACCCUAUAAUUCUUGUCUUGCUCUGUGCUUUAUGGUUAUGAUCUUUGACUGCUAUUUCUUUAUUUGUCCCACAGACGACUAAUUUGCAUCUCCUCCUCUGAGUUGUAUAAGCUGCUUACUCAUCCCCCACUCCUUCUGCAGAGUUGCUGCAGACUUUGCUGCACUCCCUGAGUCACAUGAAGCAGGUGAACUGUGAAAGAACAGUGCUGUUUACUCAUAAGAUUGCUUCACCUCCCCACAAAACUUGCUAUUUCUGUUUACAAAUCCACUCUGCCUCUGAUCUCCCCAGUGUUGGCUUUCUCUUUUCUUAUGCUUCAGAGGUUUUUUUGUCAUUUACGGUUUCUUGCAGUCUUGGAGAGCAGAACCAUUUCCUUUGAAGUGAUUCUGGAUUAAAGCAAUUCACACCUGUCUCCUCAUCUUUGUCAGUCAUCUGUUGCCACCCCUAUGCUGCCAUCUCUGUUUUUCUCAGCCCUGUUGGGUUUUUCAGUUUGUUUGUUUCAUGAUGAUGCACCAGAAGUUAAAUAGAGGAACUGAUCUUGACUACAAAUAACUUCAUUUUGUUUUAUGUGAACCAGGCCUCAUUAGCAGCAGUGUUGCACAGCACCGUUGAUGAUCUUCUACAGCAAUAUGAAAGAACUAGGAAAAUGGUGGGAGCCUAAUACCAUAAGAGUAACGGUGAACAAUUAGUGCAGUAGCAUAAGCAGGCAUUGCCAUCAGGGAAAUGGCCUGCAGAAGCAUAAUAUAGUAUAAAUAACUUUGUUUAAACAACUGUACAAGCUAUUAAGUUUUCUGUUGCCUGUCUUGCACAGGUAAGUUUGCAAAAUCAGUCAGUGAAAACUGAAAUUUAGAUAGAAAUGCUCAUAUUUUUCAGUUCUGAGUUUCAAAUUGUAAGGGUUUGUUAGCUUCACUUUUGCCUCCAUUCUUUCUUCUUUUUGUUUUUCUAUUUUCACAACUUCCAUCUUUUUUUGCAGUCUACAAUUUAUUCUGUAUUCUAUAUAUAUUUUCACUGGAUCUGCUACAGGCAGAAAAGCAAGGACAUUUUUUAAAAAUCAAAUAUAAAAUGUUAUUUUUAUUAGUCUUCUUGGUUUAUCCUACUUUUUUUCCUGUCAUGUACAUGUCCAUAAGGUACAUUGACUAUGGAAACUGCAUGUUCUAUAGUGUACUUGGCUUCAAAAUAACUAAUAAGAGAAAUACACAGACUGUCAUGAAGUGGAAUGACACUAUUUUAUGACACUAUAUUUUCAGCUAUGAUGCUCUGAAUUCAGUAGUUGCUAAGUAAAUGUCUGCUCAUUAUGAAUUUAACAAGAUUAUUUACCUAAGAAAUACAUAAUUUAUAUUUGGAAUAUUUUAAGUCAUAACUAAGGGUAUCUUUCAUUCACGUAUGAUUGAUAGCCUAUUUCUGCAUCUAGGUACCUACCUAUCAGUCUCUUCAGACUGUUAUUAUUAUGACAUUGUUUUUAAGUUAACUCAUCCUUUUCAAUCUAAAAUUUCUAAGGCAUGCAUGACAUAAUUAAUAGAGGCACAAACUUCCCAUUUUUGAAAGCACUGUACCUGAAAAUUCAGAAUACUGUUGGCAAUUUGGUAGGAAUAAUUUCUUUUUGGAAAUAUACAGAAAUUAAGCUAUGCCUUCAGGUGUCAUAAAUCAAUGAAGCUCCACAUAGCUUAUAACUACAAUGAAAUUGUAACAGGUGUCAUCUGGGAAUCAGUCCCACUUUAUUAGUUGCAUAUAGUGUUCUUCUGACUGUAUCGCAUUAUCUUUUUUUUUCAGUCCAGUGAGUAACCAUGUAAUGAUCUGAACACUUCCUUUGUUGCAUUGUUCCAUUUAUCAAGUAAAUUAUUUUACCAAACAGAUUUGCCACAGUCUUCCUUCUAUCCUGAGCCAUUUGCGUAUCCAGUACAUGAAGUGAAACGUUGGCUACACUGAAGUUCAUGAGAAAUUGAAGAGCAAUUCUCCUACUUUCCAUAUCUAACUUAAGUGUGAGCUUUUCAGUAAUGGUAAACUCUCUCCAGGCACUUAUGCUAAUAUUUAAAAAUAUCCCCUGGUACUGGGAAAGGGAGUUGUAUUUUACUGAGAGCACGUACACAGUGUUGUGUGCUUCUGCAAUAAUUUUGGCUGACCUAAGGCGUGAUUUCAUUUCCAGUGGUUUUAUGCACAGUAAAAAUCCAGUUCUUUUCUGUAUGGGUGCAGCCAGGAAUUAUAUGGGCUAAGACAAUGCAAGCAGUGAUACAGUAUCCACAGGGUGUCUAAAUCACUGUACUGAACCAACUGAUUUUUAUUUAGGAAGUACAAGAUUAACAUAAUAGAUUUUUUCACAAUAUAAUUUUUAAGCAUUGGAUUCUGAAGUGUAUAUUACUUGCAACUUUUGAGAUUCUUUCAUAUUAAAUUCUUUUAAUAAAGGAAUUGCAUUUCUUUUCCUUCCUUUCAUAGAAAUUUACACUCUUACCACACUAAAUAUCCAUUAUCACUGGUGGAUAGGCAUGAAUCAGUGUUUGUCAAAUUCAAUCUUUGAAAAUUAUUUCACUUUUUCUUUAUGUGACAGAGUAUUUUUAACUUUUUAUUUUUCAAAUAAUUUGAUUUUUUUUCACCCUCUGUAUAGUAAUUUCAAAUAUAAAGCAAUCAAAAUAUAUUUUUUCUCAAAUAUUACUGAAAGAUUCCACUUCUGUUGAUACUGACACCAGUGAAUCAAUCCAAAUGGUUCGUUUAAAUAGGUUUGGAAAAUGUAUGUGACUGCAACUUUUUUAGGAAUAUUACACUACUAUAUUGGUAUAAUUUUGUAGCAUUUGUUUUCUUUUAUUUCUUGUAUCAGAUAGCAUUAUUUACUGGGAAAGCACAGCUUGCUAAAACACAGAAGUUGACCUAUAAUUCUGUAUGAUAAGGUAUUAUGUUUGUAACAGAUAUAUAGCUAAAAUUUCUAGUAAGUUGACAUACGGAAAGGCAGGCACAAAAUCAUUUCAGACAUAGAAGAAUACAGAACUCAAAAGAUCUAUUUGGGAAGAAAUAGGAACUGUUUAUGUUUUACUUUUUUGACACAUAGGAUCUACUGGGUAAAAAGAAAUUGGAUGUAAAUUUCAAUUUCUGCAUGAUAGGUUUUUAUCCUUGAGCAGCAUAUAAAGUGGCUUGUUUUACAUGCAUGGGCAAAGAAAUCUGAAAAGCAAGACAAGUCAAUCUGCAUGAAAAAAUAAUUUCUUUUACAGUAGAUUUAUACUAGAGUAAAUCUGUUAACUUCAUUUGGCUUUGAUCCAGGUUUUGACUAAUGUGAGAUGAGUAGCAAGCUCAAACAAGAUGUUAUUAAUAUGGGGAAGCCUAUGCUAACAGCUAAGCGGGGAUUGUGCUGGAUGUGAAUAUUUUCACUAAGUCAAUAUAAACAGAGUAUCCUGGCAAACCACUUAGGUUUUUCUUCAGUAAAUUCUAACUCCUGUCGCUUUGCUUUUCAAGUAACAUAUUCAGAGAAUGAAAGUAGAGUAGAUAAUUUUGAAUGCCAAUGGACAGAGAUCUGAAUAGCUUAAUUCCCAGAACAGCACUUCUGUUCUCCCUCAGGAGAUGCAUGGCAUAAGAGGGCAAAACUAACUGAAUCGAAGUCACACCACAAGAGAAGUUUCAGGUGCUCAUCUUGUCAUCCAAAGAUUUGGACUUACGUAAGAGAAAGUAUACAGUAAUUGGAGAAGAAAUAGAUAAAAUAUAUUCCAUCUCCUACCUAUGGUAGAUUCUCCAGUGUUUUAAUAUUAACGUUUAGAUAAUUGAUGAUAUUUGGUUUUGUAAAGAUAUUUCGCUGGAAUUAUAUUUUCAGUGAGGUUUUUUUUUAAUUAAAAAUACAGUAUUCAGGAAUAAAUACAAAAGUGGAAAAUUUCCUAUUUCUUUAUGUGUUGAAUGAUAUGAGAAAUUACCAGUAAUUUUGAUGUUAUUAAUAUUUUCCCUUUAUAUAUUUUUAUAAUUAAGCUACAUUUUCCUAUCUACUCCAUAAUUCAGAGAUAUUUACUACCUCUUCUCAUUACUAUACUUUAAGAAUUGAUGACCAGGUAGAAUAUAUAAUAAUCAGAUACAAAGCAAGGAAAACAAGCAGUAUAUUAAUAAUUACUCAUUUCAUAAAAAUUUGCUGAAGCUAUAAACUGUUCUUCUUAUAAUACAGAGUGGUUUCCACAGAUAACAGUUUGGAGAUGGAAAAGAAAACACUGAGGUUUUUGUACCCUUCUUUAAAUUUUAAAUCAGUAGUAUAAGAUAUGUUAAACUGGCUAUUACUCUUCAUUAAACCUGCCAAAACAAGGACAUAAGAGUCAAAAAAGAAAGCACAGGAACUUUCAUAAAUAACCUGGUUUUAAAAGACAACAGACUUCUUUAAGCUGGUCUAUUGGCCACCUUUUUUAUUUUUAAACAGACUUUUCUUAUUGUUACUGAUGCCUGCUCAGAAAUACCCUAUUCUUUGUCAAUAUUUAAUUUAUCAUAGAGAAGUUUAUUUGGAUGCUCUGCUUAAAGCAAGCAAUGAUUAAAGCAUCUCUGACCUUAAUUGCACAAACAUAAGUAUGAGCAGCAUUUUCCAAAGCUGUUGUUUAAAUGUUUGAUUUUAGGAGAUCGACUAAGAUACCAGAAAACAACCUUCAAUGGAAACCUCUGCACUUCCUUUAUUUUUUGUGCUAUUUGCAUCUAAAAUGCAUUUCCCCUGCCAUUCAGUGAAUGAAGGUUGUUUGAAAAAAUCUUACAGCAAUAAAAAUCAUUCCUUCAACCCCUGCAGUGCAAGGUUUAUGUACAUUGUGGUUUAUGCACAUCAAUCUAUUUUCACAGAGUUUGUGGCCUUGGGAAAGGCAAUGUGUAUUUAUAAACAAUCACAUAAAUGGACCUGAAUUAAGAGUUCCUCAUUUACUUUGCUGGGAACCAAAGUAUGUCUCUGAAGUCAUCUAGAAGGAUAUUUGACCUCAGCAGUAGUGCUGUAAGGGUAAUAAUGUCUUACAGUCAAUACCUUAUGUCUUGCAGUGAGCCCCUGGUGUACUAACCUGUGGGAGUGGGAGAAAUGGAGCUUGCCAUUAGUGCAGAAGUACAAUAUACAGUGAUUUGCCAUGAUAGAUGGGUAGUUACAUCUACUGAGAAAGAUCAACACUGGCUGACAUGUAUGCAAAUAGGUGCCACCUUUCUGCAUCAUUAUCUACAAAUUAUCACCUACAAUAAAUUUGCAGUUGUGACUUAUUGAAAUUGGGCACCAUUGAAAAGCUUCUCCUCAUGGAUAUCCUAACAAUCUCCAGGGGAGAGUUCAACAGCAGCUGCUACUUCUAAUACUGUAAGCAAACAAGGAAGGAAGAUGCUUUUGGCAGUGAAUGCGAAUGAUUAGCUCAGGAUGUAAUUUGUAUCUCAGAAUUGUUUUGAUAGCUCAGCACUUUCUUGGGUAUUUAUCUUUUCCCAAAUGAAAUAACAGUCUUUUCAACUUCAAAUAAGUCCUGUCUAUCUUGGAGUUACAGAAAUGAUGUCAUGCAAGAUUCAACAUUUCGACUGUUCAUAUAUUAAAAUUACUAAUCAACAAAACAGAAAUUCAAACUCUCAAACUCCUACUUAAAUAAUCUUCUAAAUAUUCACAGAUGCAUGAGUCUAAGAAAAGCACACAAGAACCAAAGUCAGUUUUGAAAAUGUAGUGAUCUAUUGUGAUAAGGGGAAAGAUAUGGCGAAAGAUAACUUGGACUACUCAGAUUGCAGAAAUUCCAUUUAAGUCUCUGACUAGUACUUCUCAUGAAUGGUUUUAGAAGAUGUCCUGCUCCAGAUCGUUCUUUCAGGCCUACUAAGACAAGUGAUCGUCAUUAUUCCUUAUAUAUUUAGUCCAACCGAUUAUUAAACUUGUGAUAAAAUGAAAGCUAGCUGAAUAAAGUGUUUUUUCCCUCUUUUAUGCAGGUGAGAAUGAUACAGUGCCACUGAAUCAGUGGAUAUAAAGAAGCAAUCUCUAGUGGCACAAUCGGUAAAGUUAUUUCUUACUUUGGACAAAAGAAGAACAAGGAGUGGGGAUGCCAACUAUGGGUUUUCUUCAGGGAUGAAAGACUGGAUGUUCUUUCAGUAAAUGAUUUUCAACUGCUGUUGUUGACCCCAUACGACUAGAAUAACCUUACCUGCUAAAAUAAUUUCAGCUGAAAGCUAGUGAUUGACAUUCGUAAUUUUUAAGGGAUAAUAACUACAAGCUGCCUUUCAAUAAAAAGGGAUACAUUAGAGGAAGGUUUUGUUUCUUGACGUCUUCAGUGACUGUUUCACAAGAUGGUGUGUCAGGACUGCCGCAGUUCCUGGAGCGGGGGAAAAGCUGCAGAAGUCCCUGUGGAGACAGCUGGCAGUAACCUGCACUGCUUUGGUACUUGGUCUGAAAGGAGAAAGUGUGAAAGAGAGAAUGAUCUUCUCUGUCACUCCUACCAACUCUCCUGUGCUGCACAUACUGAUGCAGCCACCUGGACACGUAUUGGAGAAAACCAUGUAUUAUGUAGGAGUGUGAAGCAUUCUGUGGGUUUGACCAGACACAUGGCUUUCAAUUCCUGCCUUUUGCGUAUGGGCAGGGAACAAGAUCAUCUUGAGAAGGGUGAUGAGAAGUUAAGUUACGAAUUUAAAACCAUAAGGUUAGAAGAAAUUGCUCCACUGAACCUACUUUUGUCAUUCAAAUCAUAAGGGAAAGUCUCACCACAUCAACAGCCCACAGAUAAUCAAGGCAGAAAAAAGUUACUCAGUUUCUUCUUAUGAGUUUGUUUGUUUGUUACCCUAACCAAUCUGCAUUUAUCAGACGCUAACUGCUAUUUUCUCCCAGUUUAGCUUUUUUGUGGGAGGUUGUCUUAUACAUGGAAUUAGCUGAAAUUUUGAGCCAGAUAUAUUAUCAUCUGCUGUAGUGUAAGUCUAGGGAUGUCUGUUGUUUCAUUAAGUAAAUUGCCUCAGCUUUUCAGGCCCAGCUACAACUAGACUUUGAUCUAUUAGUACUUACAGGCUCAUUAGAUCUAGUAACCCUGGGCAAAGGAUCUUCGACAUUAUUGACCUUUUGGUUCAAUCACAUUACAGUCUUGUAUCCUUACUUGAAAGGUUGUUGAGUUCAGCAAAUGUAUAAUUACGAACAUCAUCAUUCACAGAUCAGCUCUAAUCAUUAUGCAUUUCAGUUUUUCUUUGAAAGAAAACAAAAACCAGAGGUUGCCUUUUUAAAAAAAAAAAAAAUUUAAAUGUCCAAAUAAUUUGUUCACAGAUCGUAGAAUAGUUUCAGUUGGAAGGGACCUUAAAGAUCGUCUAGUUCCAAACCCCUGCCAUACACAGGGACACUUUUCACUAGACCAGGUUUCUCAGAGCUCCAUCCAACCUGGCCUUGAAUUAUUCUAGGACUGGGGCAUCCACAAGUUCAUUGAGCAAACCUACUCUCUUCUAGAAUUAAUCCAUUCCACCCUGUCCUGUCACUGCAUGCUCUUGUAAAAAGUCCCUCUCUAUCUUUCUUGCAGGCUCCCUUCAGGUACUGGAAGGCUGCAGUUAGGUGACCCUUAAGCCUUCUCUUUUCCAGGCUGAACAAACCAAGUUUUCUCAGCCUUACUAAGUACAUUUGAUUGAGUUUCUAAGAAAAUAUCCCCUGGAAGGACUUUUCACAAUUUACACUGUCUAAUUAGGAAAUACCCGUCUCUCAUUUGAUUUCAGACUGAGGUGACCAUUUCAGUUUGUGGACAAGAUCAAAUCAAAUUAGGAUUUACACCCCACCCACCUCCCCACCCCCAUCCCCCUUAGUCAAUAAUUUUGAUUUCUCUUUAAGCAAUCCAACCGGAAGUCCAGGGAAGGCAUGAGAUUUUGUAGAAACCUUUUCCUUCUUUUAAAGUUUUAACCAUUAUGCACCCAGAGACUUUUCCCAAAUUUCUAUCUUUCUGAUGAAAAUCAGGGUCUUCCUGGAAGGAGAUCCAGUGAUGCACACUGGUGGUCUUCUCGUCUCUUCAACACACAAGCACAUACAGUUUUUAUGAAGAGAAAACCAAAGCAUAGGCAACAAGGAUGUUUACACAAUCCUCCAGUCUAUUUCCUGAAUCACUAUAACAAGCAGACUACACAUCCAUGCCUUAAGUCAUACAUGCUACAUAGUUCAUGUGCAAUACAUGUACUUUAUAAUGUUUAUUAAACAUGUAUAAGAUUUA